CAGUCUAAAUAUAGUUUAAAAGAUACUGCUUUUUGUCAGGGAAAUAACAGAAAAAGGAAUGAAGUUUAGCAGAAAACCUGAAUGCCAUUUUAGUCUGGAUUAGUCAGCUUCUGCUGUGGUAACAAACACUCCCAACAUCUCAGUGGCUUCAAUAAUGAACAAUUGUUUCUUGGUCUUAAGGGCUGAGAAUUAGCUUUCGAUCUCCUGGGCUCUGCUGGUAUCAUGUGUCUUCUGUUUCCAAGAAUCCAGAUUGGAAGAGUAACCUUUGAUGAUACUGAUGUGGAUAAAAUACUUGGCCCAUAGGUAAGCCUGAGAAGGGACAGGCAGAAAUAAGUAAGUUUGAAUAAACACUGUAAUAUACCACAUGGGCCUUGAUUCCAUACUGUCUUAUCUUAUUUAUUCAUUUAUGUCACUAAUAUGGUUUGGAUGUGUUUCACCACCCAAACCUCGUAUUGAUAUGUAAUCCUCAGCAUCGGAGGUGGGGCCUGGUGGGAGGUGAUUGGAUCCGAGGGGGCAGAUUUCUCAUGAAUGGCUUAGCACCAUCCUCCUUGGUACUGUCCUCAUGAUCUCAUGAUAGUGAAUUCGUUCUUGUGAGAUUUGGACAUUCAAAACCGUGUAGCACCUUCUCCUUUCCUUUCCCUUCCUUUCC
rnacentral:lncRNA from 10 species